rnacentral:rRNA from 1 species
GUGCACCUACGGGAGGCAGCAGUGGGGAAUAUUGCACAAUGGGGGGAACCCUGAUGCAGCGACGCCGCGUGGGUGAAGGAGUACUUCGGUACGUAAAGCCCUAUCAGCAGGAAAGAAAAUGACGGUACCUGACUAAGAAGCCCCGGCUAACUACGUGCCAGCAGCCGCGGUAAUACGUAGGGGGCAAGCGUUAUCCGGAUUUACUGGGGGUAAAGGGAGCGUAGACGGCAGUGCAAGUCCGGAGUGAAAGCCCGGGGCUCAACCCUGGGACGGCUCGGGAAACUGUAAAGCUGGAGGGGGGGAGG